AUGGAUCUGUCAUCAAGAUCCAACAUUUCUUUCACUUCAAAAACUGGGAAACGUGGCUUUGGGGAAGCAGCAGUUUUGAACUCUGUCAUCACAAGAUCUCUAACAGAGAUGCUAUGUGCCUCAUCAAGUCCUUUUGGCUUCCUAUCUCUCUUCUUUUCAAUUAGAAAUUCCAGCGCGCAUUGUUCAUCAUCAUUAUUGUCUGAUUUUUCAGCUGCGGCAUCCUCAUUCCCACCGGAGCCGCCAUUGCCGCGUGAGACACCAUUGCCAGCUCCACUGUCAUCAUCAUCAACAUCCUCCUUCCGUUGCCCAUCAUCUUCCUUCUCUUUAUCAUUCCCAUCGCCUUCUUCAUCGCCGUCGUCUCCCUUUCCUUCAUCCUCUUCUUUUUCGUCAUCCUCUUCCUCUUCAUCAUCUUCAUCGUCAUUGUUUUCAUCAGUUAGAACUUGA
rnacentral:rRNA from 1 species